rnacentral:rRNA from 1 species
AUUGAACGCUGGCGGCAGGCCUAACACAUGCAAGUCGAGCGGAUGAAGGGAGCUUGCUCCUGGAUUCAGCGGCGGACGGGUGAGUAAUGCCUAGGAAUCUGCCUGGUAGUGGGGGAUAACGUCCGGAAACGGGCGCUAAUACCGCAUACGUCCUGAGGGUGAACGUGGGGGAUCUUCGGACCUCACGCUAUCAGAUGAGCCUAGGUCGGAUUAGCUAGUUGGUGGGGUAAAGGCCUACCAAGGCGACGAUCCGUAACUGAUCUGAGAGGAUGAUCUGUCACACUGGAACUGAGACACGGUCCAGACUCCUACGGGAGGCGGCAGUGGGGAAUAUUGGACAAUGGGCGAAAGCCUGAUGCAGCAAUGCCGCGUGUGUGAAGAAGGUCUUCGGAUUGUAAAGCACUUUUAGUAGGGAGGAAGGGCAGUAAGUGAAUACCUGGCUGUUUUGACGGUACCAACAGAAUAAGCACCGGCUAACUUCGUG